UAUAUAUAUAUAUAUAUAUAUAUAUAUAUAGAGAGAGAGAGAGAGAGAGAUAGAUAGAUAGAUAGAUAGAUAGAUAGAUAGAUAGAUAGAUAGAUUGAUUGAUUGAUUGAUUGAUUGAUUGAUUGAUUGAUAGAUAGACAGACAGACAGAUAGACUAAAUAAAUAAAUAAACCAAAAUAAAUAAAUAAACCAAAUUAAAUAAAUAAACCAAAAUAAAUAAAUACAUAAGUGAACUACUUCCUGACGCUGCUCUCUCUGAACACUACAUUUCCCAGACUGCCACAGAGAACAGAUUUCCUGAAACUGAAGGCUCCUCGCGCCGCGCCGCUCAGCUCAGGCUUAAGCCCCGCCCACCUCUGAAAACACCCGCUCGUCUUUCCCCCCUCUCUGAGCAGCGGUUGGACGCCUCGGAAGUCAAUUUAGGAAGUUCGGAGCACUCGUGUCGUGCGCUGUUUGUGUUGAAUAACGGUCCUGAAGGAAGAUUAGUGCUGGGACCAUGAGCUGGACAUGAGCUGGACGUGAGCUGGACAUGAGCUGGACAUGAGCUCAGAUCUUCAGGCUUGCUGAGGUUUUUGGAGGAAUUAUGUACGUCCUGAUCGUAUUCUUAUAACCUCUAUGCUGUCCUCUUUCCUCUUGAACUGUCCUUUAGAGGACUUGGCUAAUAAAUGUUUACAGAUCUAGCUUUGGAGUUGUGUAAAAGCAGCCUGCAGUGUCACUGCAGUAAAACCACACAGCUUUUCUAACCUCCUUACUUUCACAUAGCUGAGCUUAUUUUAGAGCUUCUGUCGACAUGUAGGUAUGCAGAUAGCUUCUGCCUAGGAAAGAAGUCUGAACUGGACUGGGAUAAUGCUGGGAAAUCUUGUCUUUAAAAUAUACGGUACAGUUGGCAUCGGUUAUUAACCCCUGCACUUCAUUCUUCUCAGAUCGCUGUUUGAUCUUCUGAACAAACAAACAAACAACAAACAAAGUAAGCGUGCUACCAGUUUUGCUUAUUUUCCUUUGAAACAUUUCAUAAUAUGUAACAAGAAAUGCAUCAUCGUGUUCUUUUGAGACUUUGUAAACUCAUUUAUCGAAAUUCUGUUGUAUUUUUUUCAUAGUUAGAUGCUCAACAGGGG
ensembl:lncRNA